AUUGAACGCUGGCGGCAUGCCUUACACAUGCAAGUCGAACGGCAGCACGGGUGCUUGCACCUGGUGGCGAGUGGCGAACGGGUGAGUAAUACAUCGGAACAUGUCCUGUAGUGGGGAAUAGCCCGGCGAAAGCCGGAUUAAUACCGCAUACGAUCUACGGAUGAAAGCGGGGGACCUUCGGGCCUCGCGCUAUAGGGUUGGCCGAUGGCUGAUUAGCUAGUUGGUGGGGUAAAGGCCUACCAAGGCGACGAUCAGUAGCUGGUCUGAGAGGACGACCAGCCACACUGGGACUGAGACACGGCCCAGACUCCUACGGGAGGCAGCAGUGGGGAAUUUUGGACAAUGGGCGAAAGCCUGAUCCAGCAAUGCCGCGUGUGUGAAGAAGGCCUUCGGGUUGUAAAGCACUUUUGUCCGGAAAGAAAUCCUUGGCCCUAAUACGGUCGGGGGAUGACGGUACCGGAAGAAUAAGCACCGGCUAACUACGU
rnacentral:rRNA from 1 species